rnacentral:lncRNA from 1 species
GUGGAUAUGGGAAUUGAGUAUUCUGUUACACUGAGGUAUACAAUUGGGCUAUUUAUCCAAUUUGUCUCCUGAGAAUAGGGACAGAUGGUUCCUUCAAAAAGAUGCUGAUCAGAUGAAAAAAUCUGUGACCAUCACAAGACACAGUUAUAAGGCUUGGAAGACAGAGGGAGGUUGUGAAUGGCAGCACUGUUCAGUGUCUACUCAGGAGAACCAGCACUUAAGUUCAUCUCUCCUGCCAAUAUUGGAGUCCUCUGGGGGCUGGGGAAGGAAUCAGCCUUUGAAAACUUUGUUCACCAGGAAGACAAUAUGCAUUAAUGCACUUCAUCUCAGAAAGCCUCACUGCCCUUAGAGAUGUUUUUGCAAUGAUUGUUUUAAGACCUAAAUAAAGCAUGAGAAAUGAUCUUUUCCUUCCUCAAUUCUUACUUAAUGUAAGGUAGUAAGAAAAGUCAUGAAGUUGAGUUACACACACUUGGUCUAGGAUCAGCAGGAC